GACGAACGCUGGCGGCGUGCUUAACACAUGCAAGUCGUACGGUAAGGCCCUUUCGGGGGUACACGAGUGGCGAACGGGUGAGUAACACGUGAGUAACCUGCCCACAACUUUUGGAUAACGCUAGGAAACUGGUGCUAAUACUGGAUAUGUGCUCCUGCUGCAUGGUGGGGGUUGGAAAGCUCCGGCGGUUGUGGAUGGACUCGCGGCCUAUCAGCUUGUUGGUGGGGUAGGGGCCUACCAAGGCGGGGACGGGUAGCCUGCCUGAGAGGGUGACCGGCCACAUGGGAGCAGAGACAGGGGCAAGAGGACUACGGGAGGGAGCGGUGGGGAAGAGUGCACGAGGGGCGGAAGCCGGAGGGAGAGAGGGCGCGUGGAGGAAGAAGGCCAGCGGGGUGGAAAGUACUGGCAGCGGGGAGGAAGGGAGUAAAGCGAAUACCGGGGCUAAGGGACGGGACACGAAGAAGAAGCACCGGCUAACUCCGGG
rnacentral:rRNA from 1 species